ACUGCCUCGGCCACCUCUUUGCGAGUCUGUCGCCUUUCCUUAAAUCUGGAACGGGCCUUUUGGAGUCUACGACUGACACCGCGCAUCCCCUCCAGCUGCCUGUCAUCAAAGAUCUGGUUUCGAAUUUUGGACCAUCGUUCAUUUCUUCGCGGGCUUCAGUCCCGAGCGCUGAUCUCCCGCUUUCAUCAUGCCCGCUCGUGCGUUUCCCGAGCAAUUGGGACACGUUGGAGUAAACAUUUCUGGUUUCCCGCAGCGGUAACAGAAUAUUUUGCGUUCCUUCGCCACGCAGUCUCGGAAUCCGUGGUCGAACUGGCCGCAAUUCCAGCAACACAGCCUGGGUUUGUUCGCCAGGUGAGUUUCUUCCACCAUCCUUGCUUCGUCUUCAUCCAGAAACUCCGUUUCCGGCUCUAGCUCCUCCACUCGCUUCCCGGCUGAUUGGAAUUUCGGCACAGGACGGAACGUCGACUUCUGCUCGCGUCCGCGAAAGUGGUACUCCACUUCCAGGCACUCUUCCCUCAGCUGCUCCACGUUCCGGACUCGGAUCGCGUAAACGUAGCGGGCGAUCUCAUCAUCGAGCCCCUUCUUCAAGACUCGCACCAUUUCGGACUCAACCAAAGAUUCGCCAGAUUGUUGCCUUCGCUCAUGCAAGGUGCGUAGCCGCUCGAACUCGCCACCCACUGCUCGGAACCGGGACACCAACUCGUCCUUCAAAUCCUCCCAUCCUUCCGGAG